UGCUGUCUGUUCCUGUUUUAACCUGUGUACAGCCUGAGGUAUUUUCUCGGCAGUGCCGUACGCUCGAGAGUGUGUCUGUGUGUGUGACAGCGUGUGUGUGACAGCGUGUGUGUAUCGCUGCGAGGCAGUCGGACAGAACAGGACGGUGCGGAGGAGGAGGAGUGAUGAUGUUUUUCCCAAAUGUCGAGCAGAGGGAGAAUCGCAGAGGACUUUCUACGGAUCUGACUCCCACAGAAGCUGACUAGAGCAGGCAAGGGGUUGUGGUAGAAGAAGUGACACCUGAGGCCUGGUCAAGAGCCAAGACCAGGGGCUGGAACUGAGCCCGAGGCCUGCUCAGCCCAGGGAUGCCCCGGGCUAGGCUGCAGCAAUGGAGGCUGCCUCUGUUGAAGUUGCUGGCCUCCUCUUUGGUGCUAUAUGUCUCCCUACACAGAACCUCAGGCAUGUCCGGUUGGGGAGGAUGUUUUGAAGGCCAGGAUGUGUUUGCGACCGUCCGAGAGAACAGUCACAUGGGACAGCUCGUCGCUGAGCUAGUUGUAGACACAGAGCCAGCCAAUGGGAUUCACUGGAGCCUCACCGGGCAGGAUGCUGAUUGGUUCUUCCUGGAGGGCAUAAACCUC